rnacentral:rRNA from 1 species
GACAGAGGUGCCGAGCGUUAGGCGGAAUCACUGGGCUUAAAGCGUGUGUAGGCGGGCGAUCAAGUACCUUGUGAAAUCCCACGGCUCAACCGUGGAACCGCUGGGUAUACUGGUUGUCUUGAGCCGGCUAGGGGCGAGCGGAACAGACGGUGGAGCGGUGAAAUGCGUAGAUAUCAUUUGGAACGCCAAUGGUGAAAACAACUCGCUGGGGAAGUGCUGACGCUGAGACACGAAAGCCAGGGGAGCGAACGGG